UUUGGGAGGCCGAGGAGGGAGGAUCACAUGAGGCCAGCAAUUUGAGGCCAGCCUGGGCAACAUAGUGAGACCUCCUGUCUCUACAAAAA
rnacentral:miRNA from 10 species